rnacentral:snRNA from 1 species
AUUGCUGGCCUUUUGGCUAAGCUCAAGUGCAGUAUCUGUUCUUAUCAGUACCUGAUUUUUAUUCACUUCUCUUAGUCCUUGAUAGAUUUAGUGAAUAAAGACCUUUAUAAAACAAAAGUAUGAUAGUGCUAACUGAU